rnacentral:rRNA from 1 species
CAUUAGCGUAUAUUUAAGUUGUUGCAGUUAAAAAGCUCGUAGUCGGAUUUUGGCUGAGAACGAUCGGUCCGCCGUUAGGUGUGCACUGAUUGGUCUCAGCUUCCUGGUGAGGAGGUGUGCUUCACGGCCACUUAGUCACCGUGGUUACUUUGAAAAAAUUAGAGUGUUCAAAGCGGGCUUACGCUUGAAUAUAUUAGCAUGGAAUAACACCAUAGGACUCCUGUCCUACUUCGUUGGUCUCGGGACGGGAGUAAUGAUUAAGAGGAACAGUUGGGGGCAUUCGUAUUCCAUUGUCAGAGGUGAAAUUCUUGGAUUUAUGAAAGACGAACUUCUGCGAAAGCAUUUGCCAAGGAUGUUUUCAUUGA